UUGUGACCGCGGGCAGCCGCGGGCAGAGCUUGAAAACGCUUUUGCGCCUUCUGUAAGACUCUGUCUGAGGAAAGUCCGGACUGCCGGGAGCAGGGAGUCCUUUUGAAAAGAAGGAUGCUGCGGACCAUAUUCCGCAGAAAGACAAGUGCAACAGAAAUUAUACCGCCUCAGGAAGUUUCUUCCGGGGGUAAGGGUGAAAUGGCGGGGUAAGAGCCCGCCGGGCGGUGUUGAGAGACCCGCCGCAGAUGUAAACUCCUCCCGCAGCAAGACCAAAUAGGGAACGAGCCGCCGCUCCCCGGCGCUUGAAGUUCCGGGUUCUGGUCGCACAGACAGAUGGCUGCCGCCUGCUUGAAAAAGCGGGUACAGAAUCCGGCUUACAGCGAUUGCUUGCAC
rnacentral:RNase_P_RNA from 1 species